GUCCCGUCUACGGCGGCCGGAGGAGGUGUCUUUUGGAAUUCGAAUGAAAUUUAUUUAAAAAAAAAAAAAAAAAAAAAAAAAAAAAAAGAGGGAAAUAGCGGAGACUCGGCAUUCGGGAAGAAAUUCCAGACGAACAAAACAAACGCGAAAGCGUAUAUUAUUAAUCUUUUUACGUAUACAAAAAACAACGCCGAAAAAAAAAUAAAAUACAUUUACGUAAAACAAUAGUUUUAAAACACGUCCGUUUCGGCGUUUCGUACGACAGUUUCCGUAAAACGCAUGCGGAAAUAUUCGCCGACGAUAUUAAAACGGGAAAUCGAAUGC